rnacentral:lncRNA from 1 species
AAAACAUAAUAGAAGUACAUUCAGAACCCUAAAAAUAUAAGAACACAAGAGAAAAACUCAUAAAAACACGGCAUAGAUAGAUUUAGACAAAGGAAAGAAGAAGAAGAGACAUAAGUCAUUUUGAGAUUUUCAGAAACCCUAAAUGGAAAACUAACUAAUUUUUAAAAAUAAAAUUGGGGAAAAGGCUUAAAAUGUUGAAGAUAGCACAGAUUCACCUCAGAUCUAGGAAAAUAAAAGGAGAAGGAACCUCGAAUAGCUUUAGGGUUUCUCUGAAACUCUAGAAAUCAGAAGGCUUGGAAAAAUUUCCGGUCUGGAGUCAGAGAUGGCCAUAGCUACCCUCUUAAAGCUUGAUACAUCGGAGCAAGGCCAGAGAGGCCAUAGAACCACAGAUCUGUAGAGGAUCUAAAUGGAAUCCAUCGAGGUCAGGCGUCGAAAUAUCGAACACCCAUGGCCUAGGGGUGAAGGAAGGUGAGUACAGGCCGUCCAUGGCCUGAGAAGCCAUGGACUCCGGUGAGAUAAUGGUCAGAGAAGGGUAGGGGGCUGCUAGGGUUUCGAGUGCUUGAGAGCGUUUUGAGGAGAAGAGGUUUC